GACUGAGCCUGUUGCAAUAUCAUCUAGUACCAAAACAUUGUGUAGCUUCAUGAAAUAAUAGGAAUCAAAAUGUUUUUUUGCAAGAGACUGUCCAGGGAUUGGUCUUAUUUUUGUUCCAGAAUAAACCUCUGAAUCAAUAUGGGGUAAUAAUUUUCCUGGUAUCACCUCGCAAAUUGCUCGACAUUUUCUUAAAGACAGCUAGGAAAAAAGUCUUUUAUGUAGCAGAACUUAGUUGAGAGCUUUUCUCUUCUGAACCCCCAAAAUGCCAAUCAAAUUUGGUAAGAAAAAUUAUUUCCAAACUUUUGCCACACCAAAGGAAAAGGGGCAUGAGAAUGAGGAAAGAUUUUGAAUGAUUUGGGACAAAUUUGACGCCCCCCCCCCCUCCUUAGAUAAGAAAUAAAAUCAUGAAUAUGUUGAUAUGCAUGCAGUUGCAGUCCAUCACCUGGCAUCCAAUUCUCUUGUGAUCCUUUGAUAAAUGCCAGAGAUGACAUCAAACCUGACUUUGAUUUAAACUUGUCAACUCAUGUCUCAGAAUUCGGUGGAUUGUCAAUAUGUUGUGCCAUCUAUCAGUUGCAGCGGACAGGCCGAAAUUCACAAUGCCUCAUGGGAAAAAGUCAACAUCUGCUGAGCGCGCUAGUGCAUUAUGCUGUGCUGACCGACGCGGCUUGGCCGGUUUGCAUAAAAUUUUGCUGUUUACCAUGGUCUCGGAGGCGGGAGAGAAAUUUGCUGCAUAUUUCUUUGGGAUAUUUAAUUUAGACUGUUUUCAGUCAGUUCUUCCUCCACUUAUAUGGUUUUCAUUUUUGAAGCAUCUUUACACCCACACUAUGCGCUGUCUGCACCUAGUCUGCACGUAAUGUCGACCCUAAAGUUACAAAUUGGCCUGUCCUCUGCCAAGUGAUAGAUGGCGCAUUGUAAUGUGAACCCACCGAAUUACCUGCCUUGACUACAUCCAUGCUGACUUCCCAUCAAAAGGAAUUACAGUCGUAAAACAUUAAUUCACCAUUAUUGCAGCAGGCUUUGUAACUAACUAAAUCCAUUAACCAUGAUUUGUUAGAUAUAUUGGGGGAGAAAAAUGAAACAAAAAGAAAUAAGACCCUCCCCCCUCGUGGGGAGUUUUAUUUCAAUUUGCAAUCAUAAGUAAAAUUUCUUUUUAGUCAAGUACAUGUACCCUAAACAUGCAAUGCAUUGUAAAUCUACAUUUACAAUGUUAGCAAAGUUUGUAUCACACGUACAUUAAUACUAAAGUAUGUAGCAGUGAAUUUGGUGAACUUGUCAUUGCACGACUGCUUCGAAGUAGUGUGAGCUUUCUCUAUUCAGGAUCGCAAGGCAUCAAAUUUUAAUUAUACAAACCCAUGUUGUCUGGCUAUGUAGUGUAGCCAACAGAAAAUAAUCCAGGGAGCGUUUCAUGAAAGGAAUUGCAAGGCAUUUUACCAGACAGUUACCAUAGUAACAGUGCUUCUCAGCCAAUCAGAUCAAAGCAAAUUGUUGGAUCUAACAACUUGUAGGAAAAAAAUGUUGAAAUGCCCCCUAGUUUUCCUUAAGGUUUACAAAGUAAUAUUUAUGUCAUUCUUUUUAAGUUGAAAUUCAGGAAUGGGGAUUUUCAUUUUGAAAUUCUCUCUGAUUGCAAAAUGUUCUGACCAGUCCUAUUCCUGAUAGUUUUUGUUCAUUUAGCAUACAGCUGUUGGAGUGAAAAAAGAAACAUACCUCAAAAUAAAUUACAGUUUUGUAAAAGGGUUAUACAAAAAGUAAAUAGGCAUUUGUAUAGGUGAAACAAAAGGGUAUUUGUAAAAGUGAACAAAAAGCAUUGCUGCCCUUCAACUGUUUGUAAGUUCAGCAAGACUUAACAAAUUAAUCAUGAUGUUAUGGGGUACCAUGUCAAAUAUCCACUUAUUUUUAUUCCCAUGAACUAAAGUUGAAAUCUGAUCUGAGCAUUUCCACUGAAAGAAAGCCAAUUUGGGGAAAUUAAUUCAAGUCAUUAAGCUUUCUCAACACUUGAUGAUAUAAACUGCAUUAAAAAAAAGAGAUAAAUUUGUAAAGAUUUUGCACCACAAAACUUGUGCAGGCUCAUGAAUAAAAAAAAAAGACAGACUGGUUACAUGAACACCCCCCCCCCCUCCCCUUCCAAACAGCACAUGUCUAUGAAUGCCAGAGAGUGUCUUUGAUUUUUUUUUUUUGGGGGGGGGGUAAGAAAAGCAAAUAAUUUUGUUACAAGACUAAAACAAAAAUUCUUGAUCAACAUAGAUUAUUAAAUAUUUUGCAAUAGUCAUAUAUAUAUUCAUGAUUGUCUCGCCACUUGUACUGAAAGAAAGUGUGGGGAAAAACAUUCAAAGUCAUGAAAUCAAAUCUAUUCAUUUUGUUUUAAUGUCUUGAAAUAUAUGAGCAAUCAGCAAAAAUCUGAAAGGAGAAAACACGUACAAUAUGUCGCCUUUUGGGUUCCAAAGCUUCACAUUUCAAAGCUCCACAGAUUUGCACAUAUUUGCAACGUUGUUUAUAUAACCCAACUCCAAUAACUCAGAAGCCGGAGUGUUUACUGACAAAGAAAUGUCAAUGAGUGUGUUUAUGAAAUGUACAAAAGGCAAGUAUUUCCCUGAAGAGGAGAAAAAUGAUAGCAGAAGGCGAAGAUACAUCACUCAAGAUUACUGAUGCAAGAAAUUCCGACAAGAAAAUUCAAGAAGCAAAAAAAAAGAAAUUCAAGAAUGGUGGAUGACUUGCAACGCCAUUGGUGUCAUUUGAAAGUGAUAUAGCAUACACUCCUGCCCCUGGUGUAGCAGGUUGUCACAUGACCAAUCACCUGACUACCAUUGCAAGUCACCUGACUGGAUAGCACUUGAUCUGAUAUGAAGAAAACAGAGAAAGUUGGAUGCUGAUUCUGCCUAGGUUUUUGCGGCUCCUGGAGGAAUUCGCUCUUAGUUGAACCCUCUGAAGACUGGACUGAUGCCACUGCUGUUUCUCCAACUGCUUCAACACCUAGUCAGGUCUACUCUGGUUCUGAUGACUGGGAUGGUGCUGAUUCUAAUGACCUUUGGGAGACUGGGCUGUUGCUAAUGCCACCGCAACACCCACAGCUGCUCAACCAGGUGCUGCGUCUAAUGACUGGGUCAUCAUAUAAAAGUCCAAUGUUAAUAUGUAUUGAACUAAUAAUUGACUAAGCAAUAUAUUGAUUUAAUUAAUGACAGAAGCAAGGAAGUGUUAAAAAAAGUGAUCUACAUGUAUAAUAAAGACAGUGACCUGCUAGAAAUUUA